UAGGGGGUAGUAUAAUUGGAAGUACUAAAAAUUUUGAAUUUUUAGGUAUAGGUUCGAACCCUUUUCCUCUAG
rnacentral:tRNA from 2 species